rnacentral:rRNA from 1 species
GCUGCGGUAAAUUUUGCCGUAAGAGAAUCGGUAUUUAAAAGUUCCUGCGCAAGAUCUGUUACUGGCUUUAGCUGAUCCGACGGUUCAAAUGUCAUCGCGCAAUCCGCUGUAAUAUCAUAGCCAUUUCCUGCCACCAGCUUUUGCAGCGUCUCGAUGGUCUGUCCUGCAUUCAUAAUAAAAUGCAUAUAGAAGAUGAUCGCUCCAAUCAAAAAAGCUGCCAGAACAAGUCCCACUGCAAGCACUGCUUUUUUUCUUUUGCUCAUAUACCCACUUCCUUUCAACCAGCUUACAGGACUUUAGUCCUUUACAAAAAUUAUAAAGCCUUUGAUCUUUUCUGUAAACGGACAAAAUGGCUCUUUUGUAAGGCUAUUAAAAAUUAGGGAGAUUUUUUCUCCCCUAUCAUUCGAGUAAGCAAGCACAAAAAUAAGGCGUAUACCUUAUUCAGAUAUACGCCUUUUCGGUGUACUAACGGUGUACUAACCGACCGUUAUUUGACACGUUUUGUUGUUUUCUUUGGUUCCGAUUUUCUUUGAUUUUCCUUGAAAAAUUAGAACUUGUCGGAGCACAGCAAUGUGUGACGGCGUGCCUUUUGCAUAAUGAUCCUACGAGUUACCGUCACUGGCGAGGUUGAGUGUCAUGAGACACGUAGCCGCAGUGAAAGCGAGCCUGAACAGGGCGCAUAGUCAGUGGGGGUAGACGCGAAACCAAGUGAUCUACACUUGGCCAGGAUGAAGUCCCGGUAACACGGGAUGGAGGUCCGCACCAAUAAGCGUUGAAAAGCUUCUGGAUGAGCCGAGUGUAGGAGUGAAAGGCCAAUCAAACUUGGAGAUAGCUCGUACUCCCCGAAAGGCAUUUAGGUGCCGCGUCGGAUGGUCACCGUGAGAGGUAGAGCGACCGAUAGGACAAGAGGGCUUCACCGCCUAUCGAGUCCUGACGAACUCCGAAUGCUCACGGUCUGCAGUCCGGCAGUAAGGGGGCGGGUGCUAAGGUCCGUCCCCGAGAGGAGAAGAAUCCAGACCGCCGUCUAAGGUCCCGGAGUUCUGCCUGAGUUAGUCUAACGAAGUCUGGUCCCUAUGACAGCUAGGAUGUUGGCUUGGAAGCAGCCAUUCAUUCAAAGAGUGCGUAACAGCUCACUAGUCGAGGGUCCGGGCAUGGAUAAUAAUCGGGUAUAAGGCAGACACCGAAGGCGCGGGAUAGCAUUUAAGAAAGUAUCGGUAGGGGAGCAUACUCACAGCGUCGAAUGGUGUACGUAAGUUAUCCUGGAGCGGUGAGUAAAGCAAAUGUAGGAAUAAGUAACGAUAAGGAGGGUUAGAUUCCCUCCCGCUGUAAGACCAAGGUUUCCCGGGCAAUGCCAAUCAGCCCGGGGUCAGUCGGGUCCUAAGUCUAAGCCGAACGGCGAUGGCGAUGGCAGAGACGGUUAAUAUUCCGUCACUGCCGCAUGGGGCGAUGUGGAGACGGAGCAGUGAAACCACCGCGGGGCGACGGAAGUCCCCGUUGAAGAGUGUAGGUGUUGAGGAUGGCAGGCAAAUCCACCAUCCGAGCUGAACUUGAUAGUAUGGAGUCUUCUUCGGAAGAAUCCAAUAGUGUGGGUAAUCAUACUCCCGAGAAAAUCCGCUAAGCUUAACCCAUGCGGCACCCGUACCGCAAACGGACACACGUGGUCGGGUAGAACAUACUAAGGCGUUGAGAGAUUCAUGGUUAAGGAACUAGGCAAAUUGACCCUGUAACUUCGGGAUAAAGGGUCCUCGUGAUGAGCGAGGCGCAGAGAAUAGGUCCAGGCAACUGUUUAACAAAAACACAGGGCUGUGCAAACUCGAAAGAUGACGUAUACAGCCUGACACCUGCCCGGUGCCGGAAGGUUAAGAGGAGAUGUCACUCGCAAGAGGAAGCAUUGAAUUGAAGCCCCGGUAAACGGCGGCCGUAACUAUAACGGUCCUAAGGUAGCGAAAUUCCUUGUCGGGU